rnacentral:rRNA from 1 species
AUUGAACGCUGGCGGCAGGCCUAACACAUGCAAGUCGAACGAGUGGCGUACGGGUGAGUAAUGUCUGGGAAACUGCCUGAUGGAUGGGGAUAACUACUGGAAACGGUUGCUAAUACCGCAUACCAUCGGAUUGGCCCAGAUGGGAUUAUCUAGUAGGUGGGGUAAAGGCUCACCUAGUCGCCGAUCCGUAGCUGGUCUGAGAGGAUGACCAGCCAACCUGGAACUUAGACACGGUGCAGACUCCUACGCGAGGCAGGAGUGGGGAAUAGUGGAAAAUUGGCGCAAGCCUGAUGCAGCCAUGCCGCGUGUAUGAAGAAGGCAUUCGGGUUGUAAAGCACUUUCAGCGGGGAGGCGUUAGCCGGAGAAGAAGCACCGGCUAACUCCGUGCCAGCAGCCGCGGUAAUUC